rnacentral:rRNA from 1 species
CCUACGGGAGGCAGCAGUGAGGAAUAUUGGUCAAUGGUCGGGAGACUGAACCAGCCAAGCCGCGUGAGGGAGGAAGGUACAGAGUAUCGUAAACCUCUUUUGUCAGGGGACAAAGACUGGGACGCGUCCCCGGAUGAGUGUACCUGAAGAAAAAGCAUCGGCUAACUCCGUGCCAGCAGCCGCGGUAAUACGGAGGAUGCGAGCGUUAUCCGGAUUUAUUGGGUUUAAAGGUGCGUAGGCCGGUCUUUAAGCGUGCCGUGAAAUUUUGUGGCUCAACCAUGAGAGUGCGGCGCGAACUGGAGACC